AUAAACUCAGAGUGCCAUCAGCCCUCUCCACAUCUAUCCUGAUGUGUACAUUGGAUUGCGACACCGACAGCAAUGGAGUUGGAAUGAAAUGGAGGGAUGCAGGAGAGGUUUAGGGAGUAAAAUAGAAAGGUGUAGGUGAUGGGCUAAGUCUAGGAGGCAAUACAGGAGAGGGACGAGUGACGAGCGAAGGAUGAGUCCUAGGUUAGCGGCUGGCACCACUGGGUGGGGCCCUUCCCUCAGGCAGGGCACACCAGAGGCCACCACAUCCCCUUAUCUCCUAUUUUAGUCUCAGGAAGUUUUUCCAGCUCUUCUUAUGGGUUUGGUUCCUUGCACUGAAGGCCAUGAGUGGCAGUCGCCUUUCCCUGGAUGACCAACGCAAUCCCAAAAUGAACAGAGAUUUUUCAAAAUAAAAGUCAGGAGAGGGGGCUGCCUUAUGCAACAUCUCUUUUAGGUCCAGCUACACAAAUGCCCCUGAAUGACAGCAUGUAAAGCCUGGCCAGCUUCUUGAAACAGGGAAGGGGGAAUGCUGGGAGAAGGAGACACCAGCAUGAAAAAAUAAGUAGGAGGACAGUGGGAUGCACAGUCCUGGAACUCACAGGAAGAGAGAGGUCAUUUCUGAGGAUAAUUCCCAGUAGGUCAUAUCCCACUGGUCACCGAGUCCUGUUGAUUCUGCUUCCUUAGUAGCCGUGAACUAACCCCAUCACCUCCAGCUUCAUUUCACGGACUCAGUUCAGAGUGGGAACUCAGAUCCUCACUACUUCUUUACCUGAAUUGCCGUAAUAACAAUUGUAUCUGGGUUGUAUUUGGCUGCAUGUAAAAGAAACCCAAACACAGUGUCUCAACUAAAUAGAAACUAAUAGUGCAGAGCUGGCACAGCAGCUCAGGAAGUUAUCAAGGACCAAACUAUGGCCUCAAACUGCAUUCCAGGUGGGCAGCAUCUUAAUCAAGGAAGCAAAACAUUUCUAGAAAUUCCCAGCACAUUCCCACUUUGGCCAGAACUGUUGUCACAGCAGUUGCAAGGGAAGAUAGAAAUUACAGAUACUUAGCGGAGUUUUCUUUUCUUUCCUUUUAAAUACAGAAGACCUGGAGGAUGGUAAAAGAUCUGUCACCCACCGUAUCUGCCACGCCGCCCAGCUGGUCUCCCUGUUGCUUAACCCCGCCCCUCCUCCAAAGCCCUGUCUACCCCGCUGCCAGAGGAUCAUCCGAUCACCAGAUCGGGUCACUUUCUGCUAAAAUACUUCAGGGAGGGCACUUCUCACCCCAGGCUCUCGUCGCUGGUUUACUGGGCCAUGAGCUCCUCAAGCGUAGAGACACAAAUCGAUGGAACUUCCAGCCUCGAGAGCUGUGAGAGAGUACACUUCUGUCUCUUAAGUCCCCCCGGCUAUGACACUUUGUUCUGGCAGCCUGAACAGACUAAGAUCCAGCCCUGGCAAUAUGUUUUCUCCAAGGCCAGGACAAUUGUGAGGAGGCCCUGAAAUAAGAAUGAAUGACCCUGCCUGCUCAAGAAGACCUGAUUUGUCGGGACUUCAGCCCGUCUUCAGAUCGCCACAGAAUCUGUGUGCUGGGGACCUCUCGUGGCGACUCUGUGUCCUCGCCCUCUCAGCAGCAAGAAAACACACAUGCAUGGACUCAGAAGAGAAGUGGUCAUUGUUAUUUGGGGGAAUAAGUACAAACGUUGAAUGUUAAAAAUGUAGAAAUACAGAUGAUCAGUAAACAUCUAAAAUUUGUUCAACAUCUCCAGUAAUUAAAGAAACUUAAAUCAUGUGUGUGUGUGUGCGUGCGUGUGCAUGUGUGUAUAGUACAGAAUUUUAAUGAGAGUUGUACCCAGUGUUGG